GGAGCAUCCUUUAACGGAGGUACCCAGUCGGGGUGCCAGGUGAUCCGUUACAGCAGCCACCUAGGAGCACUCAAUUAAGUUGCGGUUUUCCGUGUGAUUACUCGGUGUUCCAAAUUCUGAUUGUUACUCAGGGUGGUCUCCGUUCGGUAGAACGAAUACAUUUCCCGAACACAUUAAAACGAAACGUUCAAAGGUAGUUAAAGAGCAG